GACUCACGGCAACGGAUAUCUCGGCUCUCGCAUCG
rnacentral:rRNA from 1 species